rnacentral:rRNA from 1 species
GAUGAACGCUGGCGGUAUGCUUAACACAUGCAAGUCGAACGGACUCUUCGGAGUUAGUGGCGGACGGGUGAGUAACGCGUGAGAAUCUGGCUUUGGGUUCGGGACAACCACUGGAAACGGUGGCUAAUACCGGAUGUGCCGAGAGGUAAAAGAGAAAUUGCCUGAAGAUGAGCUCGCGUCUGAUUAGCUAGUUGGUGAGGUAAAGGCUCACCAAGGCAGCGAUCAGUAGCUGGUCUGAGAGGAUGACCAGCCACACUGGGACUGAGACACGGCCCAGACUCCUACGGGAGGCAGCAGUGGGGAAUUUUCCGCAAUGGGCGAAAGCCUGACGGAGCAAUACCGCGUGAGGGAAGAAGGCUCUUGGGUUGUAAACCUCUUUUCUUAGGGAAGAAUAAAAUGACGGUACCUAAGGAAUCAGCAUCGGCUAACUCCGUG